GCCGAUUAAUAUUGAAGAGUGCAUUGAGAAUGCAGAGAAGUUUGAGUCGGAUUUGGAUUGUCUUACCAAGGACAUUAUCAUUACUAAAUAGACUUCAUUUGUGGAAACUUUGAUUUUGCGCGAGUCUACCACUACUAGCACUCUCGUGGCUUAAGCUGGACAUGGACCUUGGAUCAAUUUUGAUGUAGUUCUCGAUUGUUGUUGGCCAUCCAUCCUAUCUCUCUCCAUGACAUUUUCCAUCAUCUUGGAUCAAAGAACUUUUUUAAUUUAUUUUACUUGGAGAUGGGAUAGAUAGAUAGAUAGAUAGAUGAGUUUAAUUUACUAUUAUGAAUUUUCAAUUUUACCAUGU